AGAGUUUGAUCCUGGCUCAGGAUGAACGCUAGCUACAGGCUUAACACAUGCAAGUCGAGGGGCAGCAUGAACUUAGCUUGCUAAGUUUGAUGGCGACCGGCGCACGGGUGAGUAACACGUAUCCAACCUUCCGUUUACUCAGGGAUAGCCUUUCGAAAGAAAGAUUAAUACCUGAUAGUAUGGUGAGAUUGCAUGAUAACACCAUUAAAGAUUUAUUGGUAAACGAUGGGGAUGCGUUCCAUUAGGUAGUAGGCGGGGUAACGGCCCACCUAGCCUGCGAUGGAUAGGGGUUCUGAGAGGAAGGUCCCCCACAUUGGAACUGAGACACGGUCCAAACUCCUACGGGAGGCAGCAGUGAGGAAUAUUGGUCAAUGGGCGGGAGCCUGAACCAGCCAAGUAGCGUGAAGGAUGACGGCCCUACGGGUUGUAAACUUCUUUUAUAAGGGAAUAAAGUUCGCCACGUGUGGUGUUUUGUAUGUACCUUAUGAAUAAGCAUCGGCUAAUUCCGUGCCAGCAGCCGCGGUAAUACGGAAGAUGCGAGCGUUAUCCGGAUUUAUUGGGUUUAAAGGGAGCGUAGGCGGGCUUUUAAGUCAGCGGUCAAAUGCCACGGCUCAACCGUGGCCAGCCGUUGAAACUGCAAGCCUUGAGUCUGCACAGGGCACAUGGAAUUCGUGGUGUAGCGGUGAAAUGCUUAGAUAUCACGAAGAACUCCGAUCGCGAAGGCAUUGUGCCGGGGCAGCACUGACGCUGAGGCUCGAAAGUGCGGGUAUCAAACAGGAUUAGAUACCCUGGUAGUCCGCACGGUAAACGAUGAAUGCUCGCUAUGGGCGAUACAAUGUCCGUGGCCAAGCGAAAGCGUUAAGCAUUCCACCUGGGGAGUACGCCGGCAACGGUGAAACUCAAAGGAAUUGACGGGGGCCCGCACAAGCGGAGGAACAUGU
rnacentral:rRNA from 1 species